GAUGAUACUGCAGGAUCCAGAAAAAACAACACACAUAGUUACUUAAUGUCUGUACUGAUCAUACUGUAUUAUGGCCCCUGUUCCCAUACUGUAGCCAGGUUGUCAAAGGUUUAUAUAAUCUCCCUCCCAGGUUGUCAAAGGUUUAUAUAAUCUCCCUCCCAGGUUGUCAAAGGUUUAUAUAAUCUCCCUCCCAGGUUGUCAAAGGCUUAUAUAAUCUCCCUCCCAGGUUAUCAAAGGUUUAUAUAAUCUCCCUCCCAGGUUGUCAAAGGUUUAUAUAAUCUCCCUCCCAGGUUGUCAAAGGUUUAUAUAAUCUCCCUCCCAGGUUGUCAAAGGUUUAUAUAAUCUCCCUCCCAGGUUGUCAAAGGUUUAUAUAAUCUCCCUCCCAGGUUGUCAAAGGUUUAUAUAAUCUCCCUCCCAGGUUGUCAAAGGUUUAUAUAAUCUCCCUCC